UACGGGAGGCAGCAGUGGGGAAUAUUGCACAAUGGGCGCAAGCCUGAUGCAGCCAUGCCGCGUGUAUGAAGAAGGCCUUCGGGUUGUAAAGUACUUUCAGUCGUGAGGAAGGUGUUAAGGUUAAUAACCUUAGCAAUUGACGUUAGCGACAGAAGAAGCACCGGCUAACUCCGUGCCAGCAGCCGCGGUAAUACGGAGGGUGCGAGCGUUAAUCGGAAUUACUGGGCUAAAGGGCACGCAGGCGGUUAAUUAAGUUGGAUGUGAAAUCCCCGGGCUUAACCUGGGAAUGGCAUUCAAGACUGGUUAGCUAGAGUCUUGUAGAGGGGGUAGAAUUCCAUGUGUAGCGGUGAAAUGCGUAGAGAUGUGGAGGAAUACCGGUGGCGAAGGCGGCCCCUGGCAAAGGACUGACGCUCAUGUGCGAAAGCGUGGGGAGCGAAACAGGGAUUAGAUA
rnacentral:rRNA from 1 species